rnacentral:rRNA from 1 species
GACGAACGCUGGCGGCGUGCUUAACACAUGCAAGUCGAGCGGUAAGGCCCUUUCGGGGGUACACGAGCGGCGAACGGGUGAGUAACACGUGGGUGACCUGCCCUCAGCUCUGGGAGUAAGCCCGGGAAACUGGGUCUAAUACCGGAUAUGACUCCAUGACGCAUGUUGUGGGGUGGAAAGCCUUGUGCGGCUGAGGAUGGGCCCGCGGCCUAUCAGCUUGUUGGUGAGGUGAUGGCCUACCAAGGCGACGAC